AGUGAACGCUGGCGGUAGGCUUAACACAUGCAAGUCGAACGGCAGCACAGUAAGAGCUUGCUCUUACGGGUGGCGAGUGGCGGAAGGGUGAGGUAUAUAUCGGAAUCUACUUUUUCGUGGGGGUUAACGUAGGGAAACUUACGCUAAUAUCGCAUAUGACCUACGGGUGAAAGCAGGGGAUCUUCGGACCUUGUGCGAUUGAAUGAGCCGAUGUCGGAGUAGAUAGUUGGCGGGGUAAAGGCCCACCAAGGCGACGAUCCGUAGCUGGUCUGAGUGGAUGAUCGGCCACACGGGAAGUGAAACGCGGUCCAGACUCCUACGGGAGGCAGCAGUGGGGAAUAUUAGACAAUAGGCGCAAGCCUUGUCCAACCAUACCGCGUGUGAGAAGAAAACCUUCCGGUUGUGAAGCCCUUUUGUGGGGAAAGAAAAGCAGCAGGUUGAUACGCCGCUGUUCUGACGGUACCCAAAAAAUAAGCACCGGCUAACUACGUG
rnacentral:rRNA from 1 species